rnacentral:rRNA from 1 species
AUACGUAGGGGGCGAGCGUUGUCCGGAAUGAUUGGGCGUAAAGGGCGCGUAGGCGGCCCGGUAAGUCUGGAGUGAAAGUCCUGUUUUUAAGAUGGGAAUUGCUUUGGAUACUGUCGGGCUUGAGUGCAGGAGAGGUAAGUGGAAUUCCCAGUGUAGCGGUGAAAUGCGUAGAGAUUGGGAGGAACACCAGUGGCGAAGGCGACUUACUGGACUGUAACUGACGCUGAGGCGCGAAAGUGUGGGGAGCAAACAGGAUUAGAUACCCUGGUAGUCCACACUGUAAACGACGAAUGCUAGGUGUAGGGGGUAUCGACCCCUUCUGUGCCGCAGUCAACACAAUAAGCAUUCCGCCUGGGGAGUACGGCCGCAAGGUUGAAACUCAAAGGAAUUGACGGGG